rnacentral:lncRNA from 10 species
AAUAAAAGCAAGCAGAAAAACGUGUAAAGAGAGACUGGCCUAGCCUCCCAGCCUACAUCUUUCUCCUGUGCUGGAUGCUUCCUGCCCUCGAACACUGGACUCUAGGUUCUUUGGUUUUGGAACUUGGACUGGCUCUCCUUGCUCCUCAGCCUGCAAACAGCCUAUUGUGGGACCUUAUGAUCACAUUCCCAUCCUGGGUACCACAUGACCAGUCAUAUCCUCUUAAAAUCCUCAACAAUGUGACAGUUUCUCAGACUUUCCUUGUUUUUGACGACCUUGACAGUUUUGAGAAUGUGGCUUUUGGAAAGAAGUCACUCUGCAAAGCCCAGACUUAAGAGGUGGAUGUUAUGCUGCAUCUCCUUGAGGGGGCAGUAUCCACAUAUGUUUCUUUUUAAAUCACGUGUGCAAUCACAAUGUUUAUGUAAUCACAAGAAACAACGGACAAAAAGAUAUGUUAGAAAAGCCAAGAAAUUUCAAAAGAAAUAGUGGUCUCCCUCCUUAUGACGGACAAAGAAAAGAGUAAAUUACAGCCCAGGGCUUUCUGAUCUCCUCAGCAAACAAUAUUAGAGAGACAAAAGUACAUUUCUCAAAGAAGUACAAACCUCAAUCCCUCUAUCUGUAUUAUGAGAAGUGCUUUUAAAAUAAACUCUUAUUACCAUCUAGAAUGUAUAGUUAUUUGAAAAAAAAUCAUCUUUAAGACACAUUCACAAAUAAAAAAGAUAAAAUCUAACUUGCAAACAUACAAUGUAUAUGCAUGAUAAACUUGUAAAUAUAAUUUAUCCCAAAUGAGAAAGAUCAUCAUGAUACAAAGAUUUUUCAAGUUAUUUCAUAUUGUAAUAUUUCAUCAUGAUAUAGAUUUAUAUAAUUACCCACAUCUUCCUCCACUCUCUUCCUCUGUGUAUAGGGGAUGGAGAGAAGAAAUAAGGACUAAUAAACUCUAAAUGUUAAAGACUUAUUUAUUUAUGUUUUUAAUUUUUAAUUUUUGUGGGUACAUAGUAAGUGUAUAUAUUAUAAGGUACAUGAGAUGUUUUGAUACAGGCAUGCAAUGUGAAAUAAG